GUCGCGGUGCCAGAGUGGUUAAUGGGUAAGACUCGAAUUCAUUGAAUUUCGGCCAUCUUAUGGCUUCGGCCGCGCAAGUUCGAAUCUUGUCCGCGACG